rnacentral:rRNA from 1 species
UACGAAGGGGACUAGCGUUGUUCGGAAUCACUGGGCGUAAAGCGCACGUAGGCGGAUGUGUCAGUCAGGGGUGAAAUCCCGGGGCUCAACCUCGGAACUGCCUUUGAUACAGCACGUCUCGAGUCCGGAAGAGGUGGGUGGAAUCCCUAGUGUAGAGGUGAAAUUCGUAGAUAUUAGGAAGAACACCGGUGGCGAAGGCGGCCCACUGGUCCGGUACUGACGCUGAGGUGCGAAAGCGUGGGGAGCAAACAGG